rnacentral:lncRNA from 1 species
AAGCCAUAUAUGAGAUAUAUAUUUAAAUUAUUUUAUAUAUGUGUGUGUUUCUGUAACACUUAGAAACACUACAUUAAAAUAUGGGUAUCUGAACUUGCUUAUUUUUAUUUUUUUAAGGAUUUUUAUUUUUUCUAUUAUAGUUGAUUUACAGUGUUCUGUCAAUUUCUGCUAUACAGCAAAGUGACCCAGUCAUAUAUAUGUGUGUAUAUAUAGACACAUUCUUUUUCUCACAUUAUCCUCUAUCAUGUUCCAUCACAGGUGACUAAAUACAGUUCCCUGUGCUAUACAGCAGAAUCUCAUUGCUUAUCCACUCCAAAUCCAAUAGUUUGCAUCUACUAACCCCAAACUCCCAGUCCAUCCCACUCCCUCCCCCUCCCACUCCCCUUGGCAACCACAAGUCUGUCUCCAUGUCCAUGAGUUUUUUUUUCUGUAGUUUCGUUUGUGUCGUAUAUUAGAUUCCAGACAUAAGUGAUAUCAUAUGGUAUUUGUCUUUCUCUUUCUGACUUACAUAAAAAGUAUCCAAAUUGGAAGAAAAGAGGUAAAAUUGUCACUCCAUGCAGAUGACAUGAUACUGUAUAUAAAAAACCCUAAGGACUCUACAUAAAAACUACCCAGACUGAUGAAUGAAUUCAGCAAAGUAGCAGGAUACAAGAUUAACAUUUAGAAAUUGGUUGAACUAGCUUAUAUAUCCCAAAGGCAGUUUAAGUAAAACCCACUUGGAGACCACCAAAAUGAAACAUCAUAUAUCUUAUGAAUCAGGUAAUCAAGGAGGAAAGUGGGACUUUCUAAGACACUGUGAAAACAAGCCUCUGGCGCCAUACCUUUUUCUGUACACUUGGAAUUGUUUGGACAUUGUGAAGGCCAUAAAUUAUGACUAUUUUAAAAAAAUGAGUCUAAAUAUGAAUGAAUGUAGACUGUAAAAAAAAAAAAAAAUGUCAGUUUUUUAAAAUGAAACUUACACAUCAAGAAAAUGUUUCAAGAGAAUGAAAAACUGGAAGGAAAUUUAGUAUUUAGAACCUUGAAUUGAAGAGUACUGUAGUGUUGGACCCAACUCAGUUUCAACAUAGAGUUGCCUGAAUAAGAAACUCUAGGAGUUCCCGUUGUGGCUCAGUGGUUAACAAAUCCGACUAGGAACCAUGAGGUUGUGGGUUCGAUCCCUGGCCUUGCUCAGUGGAUUAAGGAUCCAGUGUUGCUGUGAGCUGUGGUGUAGGUCACAGAUGUGGCUGGGAUCUGGUGUUGCUGUGGCUCUGGCGUAGGCUGGCAGCUACAGCUCCCAUUAGACCCCUAGCCAGGGAAUCUCCACAUGCCACAGGUACGGCCCUAGAAAAAGACAAAAAAGAAAAAAAAAGAAAAAAAAAAAAAGAAACUCUAAAAUCAGGUCUCAGUCUUUUCUACACUGUGACAAACACAGGAGACAUUUCAUGAGCAUAUGUAAUUUCUCACCAUUUUCCAUGUAUUAGCCAUGAUCCCAGCCUCAUCUCUUUCUCAAAACAACAUGCGAGCGAAAGUGAGAGAUCAUUUUCUUUUUCUUUUUUGGUCACACCCAGGGCAUGUGGAAGUUCCUGGGCCAGCGAUCAAACCAGUGCCAGAGCAGCAACCUGGGCCUCUGCAGUGAAAAUGCUGGAUCCUUAACCUGCUGUGCCACAAAGGAACUCCAGAGAUCUUGAGUCCUUUCAAUUUAAAAAACUAGAGAAAAUCUUGGAAACCUGCAGUGCAACUAUUGUCAACAACUAUGUAGUGAUUUGGGCUUUGGCCUUGGAAUGGACCUGUUUCAUAAUCUAACCAUUUCUUCAAUCUAUGUUUCCAUGCAAAUUACAUUUCCAAGUUUCAUUUUCUCCACCUGUAAAAUGGGUUGAAUAAUUAUAUACAUGCUAUUGUGAAACAGAAUAGAAUAAUGAAGUAGAGCAUAUAGCAAAUGCCAGAAUGUUGACUAAUAAAAAGAAGUUACGAGUAAAAAUCUCAGUAUGGAUGGUAAUAAAACCAGUGUGAAGGGAAAAAAAUGCCGUUGAAAACCAUUAAUUAAAAUAGUAUUAGGCUUUUUUUUUUCCUGUCUUUUGUGUUUUUAGGGCCACACCUGUGGCAUAUGGAGGUUCCCAGGCUAGGGGUCUAAUCAGAGCUGUUGUGGCUGGCCUACGCCAGAGCCACAGCAAUGCCAGACACUUAACCCACUGAGCAAGGCCAGGGAUCAAACCCGCAACCUCAUGGUUCCUAGUUGCAUUAGUUUCCUCUGCG